AAGCACGGUGCAACCCCGGGCUGCUCUGAUUUGCUGGUAUGAAGACGGUAGCCCCAAUGCCUGUGCAACAUGUGAAUCGCCACACAGUGUUGCAGGUCCGAUCUGCGUGUCUUUACUGAUGCCAGUGAUCGAUCUGUGUCAAAUUUGUGGCUAAAUUU